rnacentral:rRNA from 1 species
GACGAACGCUGGCGGCGUGCUUAACACAUGCAAGUCGAACGGUGACGGAGGAGCUUGCUCUUCCUGAUCAGUGGCGAACGGGUGAGUAACACGUGGGCAACCUGCCCCUGACUUUGGGAUAACGCUUCGAAAGAGGUGCUAAUACCGGAUAUGGGCUCCCUUGGCAGCUGGGGGGCUGGAAAGUUUUUCGGGCAGGGAUGGGCCCGCGGCCUAUCAGCGUGUUGGUGAGGUAAUGGCUCACCAAGGCGACGACGGGUAGCCGGCCUGAGAGGGCGACCGGCCACACUGGGACUGAGACACGGCCCAGACUCCUACAGGAGGCAGCAGUGGGGAAUAUUGCGCAAUGGGCGGAAGCCUGACGCAGCAACGCCGCGUGAGGGAUGACGGCCUUCGGGUUGUAAACCUCUUUCAGCAGGGAAGAAGCGCAAGUGACGGUACCUGCAGAAGAAGCACCGGCUAACUACGUGCCAGCCGCCGCAGUAA